GCGUGCGUAGGCGGCUUAUUAAGUCGGAUGUGAAAUCCCCGAGCUUAACUUGGGAAUUGCAUUCGAUACUGGUGAGCUAGAGUAUGGGAGAGGAUGGUAGAAUUCCAGGUGUAGCGGUGAAAUGCGUAGAGAUCUGGAGGAAUACCGAUGGCGAAGGCAGCCAUCUGGCCUAAUACUGACGCUGAGGUACGAAAGCAUGGGGAGCAAACAGGAUUAGAUACCCUGGUAGUCCAUGCCGUAAACGAUGUCUACUAGCCGUUGGGGCCUUUGAGGCUUUAGUGGCGCAGCUAACGCGAUAAGUAGACGCCUGGGG
rnacentral:rRNA from 1 species